GUAGCAGCAUCUUUUUUAGGAUUCCAGAAUAUAAUAUAAUAAAAAAUUAUUGUACCCUAAUAAUUAAGAUUGACCUUAUCCCCACGGCUCAAUCACAUAAUUAUGCAAGCAAAGCAUAUUCCUUAAAUUUAGCUUAGAUUUUGCAGAUUCAACCAACUUUACCAAUUUUUUAUUUUAUUUUAUUUAUUUAUUUAUUUUUUCCGGUAAGAUACAAGAUACCCCUCCUAUCACAGGAAGGGUAUUGGGGUAAGAAUUAAACCCCGGUCACGCCGGGGGGAGAUGGAAGGAUUAACCAUCCCUCCACUCCUUGAUCCACAACUAACUUUACCACUUAGUUUUCCAAACUUUGCACAAUAAUUAAUGAGAUAAUCAUCCCCAAUUAUUAUACACAUUAACAUUAAGAAUAUAAUAAUAUAUCUUUAUCUAUAUAAACAUAGUUUAGGCUAAUACAAUAUCAGGGGAUGUCACUUACCCUGCGAAUUCAUUGGCAAUGCCUAAAAUAUAUCCCAACUUCUAAAUCAUUUUGUUAUAUCAGAUUCUAUUAUAUAGCAGUGGGUUGUUACUAUGUCGCGGUAAGCUCUAGUUAUAACUAUGCAAUCGUAAUCCAUGGCAAUUGAUGAGCACGCGACCUGGUCUUUUGCAAUUAGAAUUUGGACUUGAUCAUACAGGAAUUGGUGUACAAGGAUGCAAUUAGAAGAAAUAUUUAUUCGUUCUUAUAGAUUUAUCUAGUACACCACAAAAAUUCUAUGUACAUUAUUAAGGGUUCGAAUUCUUUAGGAGAUUAUACAUUUGUAUUCUAAAAAAUGUACUUGCCUAAAUUAUGGCUGUAUGUAGGGGAGAAGGGGAAAUUGUAGGGUGAUCAAGUAGCAUCCUCCUCAUAUCGAUUAAGCCGUGCUCUCAACUCGAUCAUCUCUUUGGAUCAUCCUUCUAUGUAUUAUAAUGUCUGAUUUAUGAAGUACAAGCCUGUUGCUAUUUACUUCAGAAAUGUUGCAUGA